rnacentral:tRNA from 21 species
GGUUCUGUGGUCUAGCGGCAUGAUUCUCGCUUAGGGUGCGAGAGGUCCCGGGUUCAAGUCCCGGCAGAGCCC